UGGCACCGUCGUAACCUCCUGGUGGCACUUUGUCCUAAGUGAGUUUGUUCUCAGCUCAUGGAUUCUAGAAAAUCUGAUAUCCUGGCUAGGCAGAAAGGAGAAAAUAUUCUCCAUUUCUCUUCCUGCCCUCAGUGUCCAGAAGCUGAUUUGUGUGGACAACGUCAGCCAGGCUCCCUUGCCCUCUGCAUUCCAGCGGAGUUCAGCCAACAGCAGUUUGGGGUAUUUAUUCCUGGGGCUCCCUCCUGGUGGGAACAAAUCCCUGCCUCCCUGUUCCACAGUGCAGACAGACAGAUAUGCCACGUGCAGUCGAUGGGGAUAAAGAGGUCCACUGAAGAUGACUCGGCUGCUAUAACAAAAUACCUCAGAUUGGGUGGCUUAAACAAGAGAAGUUUAUUUCUCACCAUUCUGGAGGCUGGAAGUCCAAGGUCAAGGCUCUGGCAGAUGUGGUGUCUGGUGAGAGUUCUCUUCCUGUUGCACACAGCCGCCUUCCCACCAUGUCCUCACAGGACCUUUCCUCAGUGUGUGCUCGUGGAAAGCAAGCUCUCUCGUGUCUCUUCCUCUUUUUAUAAGGACAUUAAUCCCAUCAUGAGGGGCCCAACUUCAUGACCAAAUCUAGACCUAAUCACCUUCCAAAGGCCCCGCCUCCAAAUACCAUCGCAUUCAGAAUUAGGGCUUCAAUAUGAAUUUGCCAGAGGAGACACAAACAUUCAAUCCAUAGCAACUAGCAACUAACAUGACAUGAAACAGAAUGAAAUGGUGUCAGUAUGUAUAAAAGUUCCUGAAAAAGUUGAAUUGGACAUAGUAGAAGAAUGGAGAAUACACUUCAUGGAUAUCAAUGUUGAAGUGUUGUAAAGUCAGACUCAAGCAACCUUCAGAACAUGUUCCAUUAUGGCCCAGCAUGGAGUCAACACUUUCGACCUUGGCCGUUACUUUGCAAAAUGAUGCAUCCAGAGCAGUAAUAUCACAAAGAAAAAAAGGCUCUAUAUUGACCCCUUGCCUGAGAGCACAAC
rnacentral:lncRNA from 1 species